CACUGAGCCUGGCUCGUNUAAAAUGGAGGGGAAAGCAAAUGCCAGGGCAAGCCAAUGCUUCGCUUCUCCCUCCUAAGAAGCCAAGAAGCCUUCACCUGGCCCAGCAACCAUGGGCCCCUCUCAGGCACAGCAUCCCUAGGUUGGGCCUUGGAACCACAGACAGAAUCGUCGAAUGGAAUGGUGGGGCUGAACAGAGGACAAGGGCCAUCUCGUCCAAUGCAGAUGCAUGAAGACCUUCAGGGAAAGGAAACACCUCACCCAGCCCCAUCCCAAUUCAGCAGCUAUCUAAAGAUGACAAGCCGAGGAAGGAACGCGGCUGGAAGGACACGUCAAGUUAAGCCGACUUCAAGCCCGCUGGAACCCGCCCUGCUUCGUCUGAACUACUUUGUUAAUUAUUGCAGGAACGUUCACUGGGGACACAUUUAUGCUCAGUGCUAUGUGCUGGAAGAUGNAGACCUGCUCCUGAAGAUGAGGAAGACUUGAUGUUCCACAACCUUAUUCGGGCAUAAGAUAUUUUAGUAUUGUGUAGGACAAUUGCUACUCAUAUGACCAGUGUCAAGNUUGAUAUCUAUCUAAGAAACUGCCCGUGUCUCACAUUAUUAUCUUUCUUUUUCUACAGCAAGGUACACAAAUGUGGCAAAGUUAAUCAUUCAAAAUUAAAUUGGUACAAUAUGGUAGUAUUCUGUCUAUCCACUUUGGUCAUUAUUGUCUUUUCAUUUUUUAAAGGAAAUAAUUUGUGAGUGGUAUUGNAAUUUAAUAAUGGUGUCCCCCCUUUUUACUGUAGCUAUUGAGUUCUAGAUCUAUUUUAAGCUAUACAGUUGGCUAUCACAAGAUGGAAUUAUGGCCUUUAAUUUGGAUGAGCUUUGAAUGGCAUCAGACUAAUUCAAGGAGGAUCAAGUAUCAACAACUGCUUAUUGUGAGGAUGAUGAUACAUACUGCAGUGGAGAAGGUGUGUCAGGAACAUGGAUGGCUGAGUGNUAUUGUCCUCAUAUUGCACUUGCUNGGGAGAUGUGUCUUAGGCCUGCUUGAGCAAUGCUCAUGUGAUUUUAUUUUUUAAGAUUACUAGGUCAAUGGUAAUGGAAGCAACCUGGAAAGCAGAGGGUUGCUGGUUUGAUCCCCGGCCUCUGUCUAGAAGUAGGCAAUAGCAAACAACUUCUGUAUCUCUGCAAAGAAAACUGCAUAGAGAUGUCCAUGGAGGUGCCCAUGCAGUCAACUAGGACUCAAACUGACUCAGCA
rnacentral:lncRNA from 1 species